rnacentral:rRNA from 1 species
CACGUAGGGGGCAAGCGUUGUCCGGAUUUAUUGGGCGUAAAGAGCGUGUAGGCGGUUCGGUAGGUCCGUUGUGAAAACUCGAGGCUCAACCUCGAGACGCCGAUGGAAACCAUCGAACUAGAGUCCGGAAGAGGAGAGUGGAAUUCCCGGUGUAGCGGUGAAAUGCGCAGAUAUCGGGAAGAACACCCGUGGCUAAGGCGGCUCUCUAGUACGGUACUGACGCUGAGACGCGAAAGCGUGGGUAGCAAACAGG